CUGCAAUGAGUUUUGCUUCGAUUAACAAUUUCACGUGUUCUGUAUGUUUGGAAGUGUACAAAAAUCCGGUUAGAACACCAUGCGACCACAUAUUUUGCAAGGAAUGUGUAUCUGCUUGCAAGUCAUGUCCUAUGUGUCGUGGGAGUUUGCCAGACACGUUUACAAAAGACAAAGAAACAGAAAGAAAUUUAAGGAGAUUGACAGUGUCAUGUCCCAUGUGCAACCGAACGGUUCUGCUGAGCUCAUACAGAUCACACUCUGUAGAAUGUGAGACUUUUCAUCCUAUCAGGCCUGUGGUUACAUGUCAUUCUGAAAUGACAACAGA